rnacentral:lncRNA from 1 species
GAUAACGAGAUUCACAAGUCACAACUCAAACGGGGUUCGCGUGUCUCUACCAAAAUUUUUGCAGAUACAACAACUCUAAUUUUCUUUUCUUCUUCAAUGGUUUUAACACUUUGUUGUUUUAGCAUCAGAACCACCACAACAUCGAUGGAGAUCCAACAAGGCCAUAGUCCAUAGAUGUUUGAAGAAAGUCAUUUUUGAACAGUUGUUUCAUGACAUCGAUCCUUUGCGGUUCAUCAGGUCGUGGUAAUAAAGAAGCACACACAUCGGUUGUCCGAAAAUGCAGAAGAUGAACCAGAAGAUCAUGUUCCCCACCUAAUAAUGAUCCCAUUCCAAAAAAACGGAUAACCUUUAUUAUUAAGUUUCAACAUUGCGAUUUAAAUGGCUAAGCUAUGAAAAAGAGAGUUAUUCGUUCUAUUUUCUUGG